AAGGAAGUGGCAGAGUGGUUAUGCGACUGGCUUGAAACCAGUACAUGGGGGUUCAAUUCCUCCCUUUCUCG
rnacentral:tRNA from 1 species